rnacentral:misc_RNA from 1 species
GAAACUUUUGGUUGUGCUGGCUUUAUUGCAUGUGCACACCUUGAUUCACACACCCGUGCACUUUGACCGGUUCGUUUGGACCGGUACUUUUACACACUCGAACGUAAUGGAAUGUCAAUGUACAAUGUACAACUAAAACAACUUUCAACAACGGAUCUCUUGGCUCU